rnacentral:pre_miRNA from 1 species
AGUGGAAUUGCUGGGUCAUAUGGUAAUUCUGUUUAACUUCUUGAGGAACUGCCAAAUUGUUUUCCAUAGUGUCUGUACCAUUUUACAUUCCCACCAGCAGU